AGUUAAUGAUCCCGUUCUUCGAACACA
rnacentral:snRNA from 1 species